rnacentral:tRNA from 1 species
GCCUGAGUGGCUCAGCAGUUGAGCGCCUGCCUUUGGCUCAGGGCGUGAUCCCGGAUUCUUGGGUUCGAGUCCCACAUCGGGCU